GAUGAACGCUGGCGGCGUGCCUAAUACAUGAAAGUCGAACGAGGUGCUUUUGUAGCAAUACGAGAGUAUCCUAGUGGCGAACGGGUGAGUAACGCGUUGGUGACCUACCCCAAAGUGUGGGAUAACAGUCCGAAAGGAUUGCUAAUACCGCAUGUGGUCUUCGGAUUUAGAAAUUGAUGACUAAAGGAGCAAUUCGCUUUGGGAGGGACCUGCGUCCCAUCAGCUAGUUGGUGAGGUAAUGGCUCACCAAGGCUACGACGGGUAGGGGACCUGAGAGGGUGACCCCCCCACAAUGGAACUGAAACACGGUCCAUACACCUACGGGUGGCAGCAGUAGGGAAUAUUGCACAAUGGGCGAAAGCCUGAUGCAGCAACGCCGCGUGUGCGAUGAAGGCCUUCGGGUCGUAAAGCACUUUUCUGGGAGAUGAGCAAGGACAGUAUCUCAGGAAUAAGUCUCGGCUAACUACGUGCCAGCAGCCGCGGUAAU
rnacentral:rRNA from 1 species